AGUUGUACAUUUUUUAGGUAGUGAUUUUUCCCGUUAUUAUGAUAUACAUUUUUUUCUAUUCAUAAUUUUAUUGGAUACUAUUCGCGGUAAAAAGGUGAAGAUUUCAGUACUAAAUUUCGAAUAUGCCUGCUGGUUCAACGUGUCAGUCAUUUGUAAGUGUAGUGGGAUUUUUUUCGUUUAUACUCGUGUAAAAGUUCGCUUUUUAGAUCUUUGCUUGUUUCUAUAUUGAUUGUCAAUUCAUGUUGACGAAAACAAUUUAUAUAUUUACAUAUUAUGGUAUUGGUGCUUGAUCUCUCUGGACGCACUUUUUUUAUUUUGCUGGUGUAGUUAUUCUUGUUGCCUGUUGUGACAAAUGACUAAGUAUCGUUUAAAUUAGCCAUAUUACUAAUUUU
rnacentral:lncRNA from 1 species